CCAGCUCCUGCCCCCCAGUACCCGCUGGGAUGAACGGGGGUGCGCAGGUGUAGGCAGAGCUGGAAGGUCUUCCUUUAACUGUAGAUUACUCUAAGAGAGAUGUGUAUGCAGUCAUAUAAAUACAAUUCCUGUCAGACCAUCCGUAAGAAGAGAAGUCUAACCCUCAGGCAGUGAGGGAUGACAGAGCAUGGCUGCUGCAUACUGGCAGAGACAGAGAGUUGCUUCAGCACCCAGUGAACCGAGACUUUGGCAUUAGAGCUAGAUUGUCUGCUCUGGUGAAACGAUGAUGGCUGAUUGAAUUUCCUCUUCGACCUGACAGAUUGGACGGACCUGCUUGUCUAUCUAAGUGUGCCAUUGGAAUCAGCUCUUCUUGGCGGUGCUUUGCUUCGAGUGGCCGUAGUCGGGCCUGGGGUCUGAACAUUAAUGGCAAUGCAGCAUCAGAGUCACUUCUAUGCUGAUCUAAAGAAAAAUAGACAAAUAAUUAAUAUUUUAAA